AUUGAACGCUGGCGGCAGGCUUAACACAUGCAAGUCGAGCGAGCGGCGGACGGGUGAGUAAUGUCUGGGAAACUGCCUGAUGGAGGGGGCUAACUACUGGAAACGGUAGAUAAUACCGCAUACCAUCAGAUGUUCCCAGAUGGGAUUAGCUCGUAGGUGGGGUAAUGGCUCUCCUAGGCGACGAUCCCUAGCUGGUCUGAGAGGAUGACCAGCCACACUGUAACUUAGACACGAGCCGGACUCCUACGGGAGGCAGCAGUGGGGAAUAUUGCACAAUGGGCGCAAGCCUGAUGCAGCCAGGCCGCGUGUGUGAAGAAGGCCUUCGGGUUGUAAAGAACGUUCAGCGAGGAGGCGUUACUCGCAGAAGAAGUACCGGCUAACUCCGUGCCAGCAGCCGCGGUAAUAC
rnacentral:rRNA from 1 species